UCAAGUGACUAAGUGUAUGUGGUGGAUGCCUUGGCGAUCACAGGCGAAGAAGGACGUAGUAGCUUGCGAUAAGCUGCGGGGAGCCGGCAAACGGGCAUUGAUCCGCAGAUUUCCGAAUGGGGGAACCCACCGACGUAAGUCGGUAUCACACACUGAAUACAUAGGUGUGUGAGGCGAACGGAGCGAACUGAAACAUCUAAGUAGCUCCAGGAAAAGAAAUCAACCGAGAUUGCGAAAGUAGCGGCGAGCGAAAUCGCAGCAGCCCAGUGUUCUGAUAGCACGAACGACAGCAGAAAGGUCUGGAAAGGCCUGCUAUAGAGGGUGAUAGCCCCGUAUGCGAAAUCGGACGUGUGGUACUAAGGAACCGAUAAGUAGGGCGGGACACGUGACAUCCUGUCUGAAGAUGGGGGGACCAUCCUCCAAGGCUAAAUACUCGUGAUCGACCGAUAGUGAACCAGUACUGUGAAGGAAAGGCGAAAAGAACCCCGGGAGGGGAGUGAAAUAGAACCUGAAACCGCAUACAUACAAACAGUAGGAGCCCGUGUAGUCGGGUGACUGCGUACCUUUUGCAUAAUGGGUCAGCGACUUACGUUUUGUGGCGAGCUUAACCGAGUAGGGGAGGCGUAGCGAAAGCGAGUUCGAAUAGAGCGAGAAGUCUCAAGGCGUAGACCCGAAACCAGAUGAGCUAUCCAUGGCCAGGUUGAAGGUGUGGUAACACACACUGGAGGACCGAACCGACUAGUGUUGCAAAAUUAGCGGAUGAGCUGUGGAUAGGGGUGAAAGGCUUAACAAAUCUGGAGAUAGCUGGUUCUCCCCGAAAACUAUUGAGGUAGUGCCUCGUGUAUUGCUCCAGGGGGUAGAGCACUGUUAUGGCUAGGGGGACAUGGCGUCUUACCAAACCAUGGCAAACUCCGAAUACUUGGAAGUAAGAGCACGGGAGACAGAGCACCGGGUGCUAACGUCCGGACUCAAGAGGGAAACAACCCAGACCGCCGUUUAAGGUCCCAAAUAUUGACUAAGUGGAAAACGAAGUGUGAAGGCUAAGACAGUCAGGAAGUUGGCUUAGAAGCAGCCAUCCUUCAAAGAAAGCGUAAUAGCUCACUGAUCGAGUCCUCAUGCGCGGAAGAUGUAACGGGGCUAAGUCAAUAACCGAAAGCGCGGAUUUGCACGAUGAGUGCAAGUGGUAGGGGAGCGUUCUGUAAGCCUGCGAAGGUGGUUCGAGAGGACUGCUGGAGGUAUCAGAAGUGCGAAUGCUGACAUGAGUAACGUUAAAGCGGGUGAAAAGCCCGCUCGCCGUAAGCCCAAGGUUUCCUGCUCUACGUUCAUCGGAGCAGGGUGAGUCGGCCCCUAAGGCCAGGCUGAGAAGCGUAGUCGAUGGGAAGCAGAUUAAUAUUUCUGCACCAUGUGCAAGUGCGAUGGGGGGACGGAGUGCGAAAGAUCAUCCGGGUGUUGGAUGUCCCGGUUUGUGAGUGUAGAAGGCCGACAGGCAAAUCCGUCGGCGGAUCUUCGAGACAAAGCAUCGAGGUUCUACGGAACCGAAGUGAUCGGAAGUGCUUCCAGGAAAAGCCUCUAAGCUCCAGCUUGCAUGUGACCGUACCGUAAACCGACACUGGUGGGCGAGUUGAAUAUACUCAGGCGCUUGAGAGAACUCGGGAGAAGGAACUCGGCAAAUUGACACCGUAACUUCGGGAUAAGGUGUGCCUUUGUAGCGUGAAGAGAGAAACACUCGGAGCGUGAAGAGGCCUCAGAGAAUCGGUGGCUGCAACUGUUUAUUAAAAACACAGCACUCUGCAAAGACGAAAGUCGACGUAUAGGGUGUGAUGCCUGCCCGGUGCUGGAAGAUUAAGUGAUGGGGUGAGAGCUCCUGAUCGAAGUCCCAGUAAACGGCGGCCGUAACUAUAACGGUCCUAAGGUAGCGAAAUUCCUUGUC
rnacentral:rRNA from 1 species